GAAGUACUCCCUCCGUCCGAAAAUACUUAUCAUCAAAAUGGAUUAAAAAAAUGUAUCUAGAACUAAAAUACAUCUAGAUACAUCCCCUUUUAUCUAUUUUGAUGACAAGUAUUUCCAGACGGAGGGAGUAUAGG
rnacentral:pre_miRNA from 1 species